UAAUUUAAAGGGAUAAGGAAUCAUUGUAACUGAUUUAGAAGGGAUAUACAGUAGAGGUCUAAAACGGUAAUUAAUUAUAGCAAUGUAUACGAUCACAUAUAUAUAGUUUUCGUCGACUUUACUCUAUCGAUAACUCGUUUCAUCCUUUUAUGAGGCAAUAGCAGCCAUUAAGUAGGUGUCCCAAUCCUCUACACGUAGGACAGCUCCUGACUAUGCCAGUGCAUGAAUAUUCUCACGAAAAACAAACCACAUGCACCAAUAUACUGUACAUUAAUUCAUCGUAUACCA
rnacentral:lncRNA from 1 species